UGAUCUGAAUCUGACUGAAACCUUUGGGAUCAAGGAGGUAGAACCUCUUGUUCUCUUAUCUAGAGAUGGCUACUAAGGUCCCGUGAGGUGUAAUGAUUUGCUUAUAUAUCUCAUGGGAUUGGGGUCCAGGCUGUUGACCUGUAUUAGGCAGGCAUCCUCAGCUUAUCCUGAGAUUCAGCUUCAUUAUUUUCCACACAUGAACAUGUGCAAAUGGACAUUACACCACUUUGCCACAUCCCAACCUCUUGGUCACACCUUUAAAAGCCAGAGAUCUCCUUGCGCAGCACAGGAAAUGCUGAGAGGAUCACUCAUCUUCUAAGGUCAUGCUUAAAUGAAGUUCUGGCUAUGAGAACACACAGCGAGGAUGAAGAGGGCCAAGAAUUCUGUCCAGUACACAUCGGCUGCUACAAGCCUUUGGGGACAACCUCUUGUCUCAACUAUGAGCCCGAGUACGGAGAAGCUUUUCCUCGAGUUUAACCUUUGAAUGAAAAAUGUCAAUAUUUUAAGAAAUGUCUCCAUGUUA
rnacentral:lncRNA from 1 species